rnacentral:rRNA from 1 species
AUUGAACGCUGGCGGCAUGCCUAACACAUGCAAGUCGAACGAGUGGCGGACGGGUGAGUAAUGUCUGGGAAACUGCCUGAUGGCGGGGGAUAACUACUGGAAACGGUAGCUAAUACCGCAUACCAUCAGAUGUGACCAGAUGGGAUUAGCUAGUUGGUGGGGUAACGGCUAACAAAGGCGACGAUCCCUAGCUGGUCUGAGAGGAUGACGAUCCAAAUGGGAACGGAGACACGGUCCAGACUCCUACGGGAGGCGGCAGGGGGAAAUAUUGCACAAUGAGCGCAAGCCUGAUGCAGACAUCCCGGGUGGAGGAGGAAGGCCUGCGGGUUGUAAAGUACGUUAAGCGGGGAGGCGUUACCCGCAGAAGAAGCACCGGCUAACUCCGUGCCAGCAGCCGCGGUAAUUC